rnacentral:ribozyme from 1 species
GACUCCUUGGUAAUAUAUUGCUGCUUCUCCGGAAAAAAAAAAAAAAAAGAAAAAAGAAAAAAAAAAAAAAAAAAAUAUG